rnacentral:rRNA from 1 species
CCUACGGGAGGCAGCAGUGAGGAAUAUUGGUCAAUGGCCGGAAGGCUGAACCAGCCAUGCCGCGUGAAGGUCAGUGCCCUAUGGGCGUUAAACUUCUUUUGUGCGGGAGCAAUAAUGGUCACGUGUGGCCAGACGAGAGUACCGUACGAAUAAGCAUCGGCUAACUCCGUGCCAGCAGCCGCGGUAAUACGGGGGAUGCAAGCGUUAUCCGGAUUUAUUGGGUUUAAAGGGUGCGUAGGCUGGGAGGUAAGUCAGCGGUGAAAUGCCCCCGCUCAACGGGGUGAAGUGCCAUUGAUACUGCCUGGCUGGAAUGCGGAUGCCGUGGGAGGAAUGUGUGGUGUAGCGGUGAAAUGCAUAGAUAUCACACAGAACACCGAUUGCGAAGGCAUCUCACGAAUCCGCGAUUGACGCUGAUGCACGAAAGCGUGGGUAUCAAACAGGAUUAGAUACCCCAGUAAUC